GUUCUUGAGAGCUCUCUUUCUUCCUCUUUCUUUUUUUUUUUUAUUUUCUUUCAUCCUUUCCCCCUUUUCUCUUAGCACUUCGUCCGCGAGUUUCUUUCCCUUUAUCCCAUCAAAACACACAAACUUAAAGGUCACACACAACACACCAUUGAUUCUCAUCAAACGAAGAUAGAGAGAGGGGGAAAUCGCCAAGGGAGAAAUGGGUCAGAUUGGUGCUUGAUCUCUGCCUUCACCGCCACCUGUCUUCCUCAACACGCCUCCGUUGUCUGCUGAUCUGCUCUGUUAAACUUCUACUAAUAUUCAAUUGCAUAUUGAGAUUUCUUGUCCCUGUGUAACACUUUUCUUUUCUUUUCUUUUUUGUCACUGUCCGUCGUAUAUAAUAAUGUUUUCUUUUUUCCUUACCGGCAUUUGGGUCUGUGGUUCAUGCUGAAGAAAUUUACAAAAGACAUCUUGCCUGGUUCAGAUGUUGAUUUUGCUUUAUGAUUUGCACACCUACGUAUAAUUGAAUUUAGAAAAAGAAACGUAAUCAAAAAGUGAAUUGAAGUUUGCAAAAAUUUUAUUUUUUUCCUGUUUGGUAGUCAAAGAAUGAGAGGAUAAUUAAUGGGUAACUAUUCAAUAUUUAUACUAUUCUCGUGUGAGGAGCUAAUAUUAUCCCAAAAUAUUAUAAUUUUUCAAUGGGAUUGUGUUAUAAUUUAGUAUGCACCAACACUUUCUUUGAAUUUUCAUUGUAUCAUUUUUUGGUGCAAAGGACACAUGUUUAUAUAUAUAUAUAUAUAGUUCAUGUUAUAUAUAUAUAUAUAACAUGAACUAUCCUGCAGAACGUAGAUCAACUGUCUCACUGGUAGUCAUACUUCUUAACCUGAAUUUACAACAAAAUUAAGUGAAGUUUAAAUUAUGUUACUAAAAAAAAAAAAAACAUUGAGCCUGACACAAAAUUCAAAGUAAUAAAUACAAACAAAUGUCAUGACUCAUUAGUCUUGUAAUUCAGUAAAGUUUAAAUGUUUACAAUAUAUGAUUUUAAGUCUUAAUAGGCCUUGUUAAAAGGUGAACUAUUGCAUAUUGCUUUUGUUUGCUGUAUCAACUAAAGAUUCACUGUCACUGACAGUGAGACAUUGAGUCUUACACAUAAAUGUUUUAUAUUGUAAUAUAGGACAUAGAUUCUGAAUCUACACCCCCUUUAAGCUAUUUCCAAUUCCCAUGGUAAAUAAUAUGCUUAAGGACUUAUGCAGUGUUAAGAUCUAGAUAUAAUUAAAAUUUGCCUAUAACCUUGGAUGUUUUAUUUCUGUCCAAAGAACAAGUUUUACUUUACUAAUUGUCACUUGAAAGUUGUGAUUCAACAAAGUUGGUGAUCUGAGAUAGGUCUUGUAUUAGCCAAUGGCUGUUGGGUUUAAUGUCACUUCCACCUCCUACAAGAAUGGGAUGGUGGGUGAGAUUGCAGGUUCAAAUGUCGAUGGGUUUGUGGUUUAAUUGCUUAGCAAACACUUAUUAGAAAUAGUCUUAUAUAAUGCUGCAGCUGCUGCUUUUGCUGUUGGUGUUUUGUGUGUGUGUUUUCAUUUUCCUUUUGCAAAUGAUCCUUGGAUCAAAUUCCAUCUGCUCCCUACCUAAAUAAGAGGUGGAGGAUAGCUUAUGGGUUGAAUCCCAUGCAGGUGUGUGAGUUCUAGUUACCCAUAUAAAACAAGUGUUUUCCUUUUCCUUUUAUGCUAGUUUUUAUUUUCCUAGUCAAAAAGAUAAUUUUGUUUUGCCUUUUUAGGCUUAUCAAAGAGUUCGAUAGACAAGCCAAGGAUUUGGAGAGUAGAAUGAUCCAGACGCUAACAAGAUGCAGAAUGAUAAAAAAAAAAAGUCAAUGAUCAAAGAGUUGAAUUCAUAUGUUGCUCUUAAAAAGCAUUCCAAGCGGGAUUUGGUUGGGCUUUGAAAGGCUUGUGCAAUUUGCUACACGAAUAGAGAAUAUAAGAGGCACAAUCCUUUUCCCUCAGACGCCUGGUUCAGUUGAAUUUUAAUUGUGAAGUUGUGCAUUUUUUUUUUUUCUCUUAUUGUAGUCAACCACAGCAUCAUUUUUUUACCUGUCCUGCUCCUCAUCCUUAAGUAAAUUCAAUUUGAAUCACCUUCUCUGUUUAACACUUAAAUGCAUCAAAACUUCAAACUAUAUAGGAAGGCUGCCAAAAACGAAAAAAAAAAGAAAAAAAAAAGAAAAAGAAAAAAAGAAGAAGAAGUAGAAGGACCAAUGCUUGGAUUAUCUUCUGGUCAAUGUUGCCUAACCUGAAAAAUGUUGAUAAUUGUGAAGUGAUCAUAUAUUUAUCCGGAAGUUAU